UACCAGCUGGCUGCAACUGUUUAUUAAAAACACAGCACUGUGCAAACACGAAAGUGGACGUAUACGGUGUGACGCCUGCCCGGUGCCGGAAGGUUAAUUGAUGGGGUCAGCGCAAGCGAAGCUCCUGAUCGAAGCCCCGGUAAACGGCGGCCGUAACUAUAACGGUCCUAAGGUAGCGAAAUUCCUUGUCGGGUAAGUUCCGACCUGCACGAAUGGCGUAAUGAUGGCCAGGCUGUCUCCACCCGAGACUCAGUGAAAUUGAACUCGCUGUGAAGAUGCAGUGUACCCGCGGCAAGACGGAAAGACCCCGUGAACCUUUACUAUAGCUUGACACUGAACAUUGAGCCUUGAUGUGUAGGAUAGGUGGGAGGCUUUGAAGCGUGGACGCCAGUCUGCGUGGAGCCAACCUUGAAAUACCACCCUUUAAUGUUUGAUGUUCUAACGUGGACCCGUAAUCCGGGUUGCGGACAGUGUCUGGUGGGUAGUUUGACUGGGGCGGUCUCCUCCUAAAGAGUAACGGAGGAGCACGAAGGUUGGCUAAUCCUGGUCGGACAUCAGGAGGUUAGUGCAAUGGCAUAAGCCAGCUUGACUGCGAGCGUGACGGCGCGAGCAGGUGCGAAAGCAGGUCAUAGUGAUCCGGUGGUUCUGAAUGGAAGGGCCAUCGCUCAACGGAUAAAAGGUACUCCGGGGAUAACAGGCUGAUACCGCCCAAGAGUUCAUAUCGACGGCGGUGUUUGGCACCUCGAUGUCGGCUCAUCACAUCCUGGGGCUGAAGUAGGUCCCAAGGGUAUGGCUGUUCGCCAUUUAAAGUGGUACGCGAGCUGGGUUUAGAACGUCGUGAGACAGUUCGGUCCCUAUCUGCCGUGGGCGCUGGAGAACUGAGGGGGGCUGCUCCUAGUACGAGAGGACCGGAGUGGACGCAUCACUGGUGUUCGGGUUGUCAUGCCAAUGGCACUGCCCGGUAGCUAAAUGCGGAAGAGAUAAGUGCUGAAAGCAUCUAAGCACGAAACUUGCCCCGAGAUGAGUUCUCCCUGAGACUUUAGGUCUCCUGAAGGAACGUUGAAGACGACGACGUUGAUAGGCCGGGUGUGUAAGCGCAGCGAUGCGUUGAGCUAACCGGUACUAAUGAACCGUGAGGCUUAACCUU
rnacentral:rRNA from 1 species